rnacentral:rRNA from 1 species
CCUAGCGGCGGACGGGUGAGCAAUGCGUAGGAAGCUGCCCGAUAGAGGGGGAUACCAGUUGGAAACGACUGUUAAUACCGCAUAAUGUCUACGGACCAAAGUGUGGGACCUUCGGGCCACAUGCUAUCGGAUGCGCCUACGUGGGAUUAGCUAGUUGGUGAGGUAAUGGCUCACCAAGGCGACGAUCUCUAGCUGGUUUGAGAGGAUGAUCAGCCACACUGGAACUGAGACACGGUCCAGACUCCUACGGGAGGCAGCAGUGGGGAAUAUUGGACAAUGGGCGCAAGCCUGAUCCAGCCAUGCCGCGUGUGUGAAGAAGGCCUUCGGGUUGUAAAGCACUUUCAGCGAGGAGGAAGGGUGGUGUGUUAAUAGCACAUCAUUUUGACGUUACUCGCAGAAGAAGCACCGGCUAACUCUGUGCCAUCUGCCGCGGUAAUACAGAGGGUGCAAGCGUUAAUCGGAAUUACUGGGCGUAAAGCGCACGUAGGCGGUUUUUUAAGUCAGAUGUGAAAGCCCCGGGCUCAACCUGGGAAUUGCAUUUGAAACUGGGGAACUAGAGUGUGUGAGAGGGGGGUAGAAUUCCAAGUGUAGCGGUGAAAUGCGUAGAGAUUUGGAGGAAUACCAGUGGGCGAAGGCGGCCCCCUGGCACAACACUGACGCUCAGUGCGAAAGCGUGGGGAGCAAACAGGAUAGAUACCCUGGUAGUCCACGCCGUAACGAUGUCUUACUAGCUGUCCUUGUCUUUGUGAUGUGAGUAGCGCAGCUAACGCACAAGUAGACCGCCUUGGGGGAGUACGGUCGCAUGAUUA